UUACUAAUAGGUUAAUUGUAAACUGAUAAAUUGUGGGUUUAUAGAUUGCGUUUGCAUUAGUAAA
rnacentral:tRNA from 1 species